ACUCCUACGGGAGGCAGCAGUGGGGAAUAUUGCACAAUGGGCGCAAGCCUGAUGCAGCCAUGCCGCGUGUAUGAAGAAGGCCUUCGGGUUGUAAAGUACUUUCAGCAGUGAGGAAGGUGGAGUCGUUAANGCGGCCUCAUUUUGACGUUAGCUGCAGAAGAAGCACCGGCUAACUCCGUGCCAGCAGCCGCGGUAAUACGGAGGGUGCGAGCGUUAAUCGGAAUUACUGGGCGUAAAGCGCAUGCAGGUGGUUUGUUAAGUCAGAUGUGAAAGCCCGGGGCUCAACCUCGGAAUAGCAUUUGAAACUGGCAGGCUAGAGUACUNUAGAGGGGGGUAGAAUUUCAGGUGUAGCGGUGAAAUGCGUAGAGAUCUGAAGGAAUACCAGUGGCGAAGGCGGCCCCUGGACAAAGACUGACGCUCAGAUGCGAAAGCGUGGGGAGCAAACAGGAUUAGAUACCCUGGUAGUGUACU
rnacentral:rRNA from 1 species